AGAGGGAAGGAAAGAGAUCCGCUUGCCUUGGUGGGAACAGUGUGGGAGUGGGCGGAACUUGUCUUCUCAAAGAGACCUCCUCCACCUGCGUAGAGCUGUAGCAGCCACAGGCCUCUAGGCCAGCUAGGUGACGGGCAGGCCUAACAUUCCUGUCUUAUCAUAAAAGGUGGGGAAAGUCGGCAUUUUCAAAAUGCCAAGUUUUGCUAUCAAACCUUCAAUCUCUUUUGUGAGUCAGCUAAGUAUCCUUCCCAGUUUCCUCCCUUCCAGCUGCCCUGCUGAGUCCCCUGAAGGGUGAGGAACCAAGGUUUAUGGAGGACCUGCUGCCUUUGAGGCAUUUCUCGCCCACGAUCCUGCAGCAACUGAGACAACAGAGCCCCCGAAAAUUUCCUCCAGAUUCCUGGGUGCUGUGCUCCUUGAGGACAGGACUUCCAGAUGCUCACAUCCUCCCAUUCCGCUUGAAGAAGUCCCUGGAAAGGAAAAGGAAGGACCCGGAGAUGGGGCAGUAAAGCUGGUGACUAGAGGCUGCCCAAUAGUCCUAGCAUCUCGCCUCCUGCUUCUGCAUCCCAGGGGUGUGCUCCGUGUUAAUUCAGCAGCGCUAAGCAUUGAGUCAUUUUCCUCACUGGCAAGAAAAGCCAGUGCUGAAACAAACAACAAGAGAGGACGCCAGAGCCUUCAACAGCGUCUAACAGCAAGAUUGCCUCCUCACCGCCUUCGUUGGUGGAAAGUCUGUGUGUGGGGACCUCUCAAGGACAUUGCACACAACUGAGCAGUUCUCAACUAGUAUCAAGGUCUUGAAAAGGAUGCCAAAUGGAUCAACAAAACAGACCUUAUUAGUUUUUCUGGCUUAAAUUCCUUAAUCAAUGCGCAGUUGGGGAGGUUCCUAUUGGAAGUAAGCAAAGCGUUAAAGACUAUAUAGCAUGAAUUGUUUGACAAUAUUGAAACUAACGAGAUUUUGUCUUUGUUUUUAACUCUGGGGGCUGUAAAGGAAUCACUUGAAAUACACAAGAAGGCUGUUGCUUUAACCAUUAUUCUUUAGCAGACAUCUAGCGGGGGGAGGGGCAUGCUCAUAUUCAGAAUCUAAAGAUUUGGUAUUUGAUUUUGUUAGUUAUUUCGAGAGCCAUCAUCAUUUUAUUUAAAAUUAUUUUCUAACUCAGCUCAAGGCUUAGAAGAAUUCUCAAAGUUCUUACCUGUGUUGUUUUUGCUGUGUUUUUGGUCCAUCCCUCCCCCCUUUGGUUCUAUAUUUCCCAGUUUCAGAAAACUGAUGAGAAAAUGAAUGCUUUAAUUUCUUACUCAACAAAUCAAUUUAAAAAACAACAGGCAGAUCUGGUUGUAAAUUCUGUUUCCCACACUGACGAGGUGUGACCUGUGACCUUCAGGUGAUUUAACUCUCUGUGUCUUGAGGGUUUUGUUUGUGUGUUUGUUUUUUAAGACGCAGCUCUUCACCUGGUUUGGGAACGUGGCAACAGCUCAAACAUGGGCCCCUGUGGCCUCAGCAACUCCUUCUGUUGGCCCAGUCAUGGCUUGGGGUUCUAACUCAGUUCUUUCAAGUAUCAUCCACACCAACAUUUAAGAAUCUUGUCGCUGGGAAACAUAAAAUUUCAUUCAAAUUCAAAGGGAAAUCUUGAGAUUCUAGUUGAACCUCUGCUUACAAAGGUUCUGAGCAUUUCUGACUCAACCUGAAAAGCAUUAGCUCUUCAGUGAACCUCGCUAAUCUGCGAUGCUUCCACUCUCUUGGACAUGUCUAUAAGCUUAUUUGGGGAUUUUUUUUUUUUCAUUGUCAGCCACCAUCACAGAUUUUCAUCUGUGAUGUA